AUGCUGGAUCCCGGGAAGCCGGCCUUCACCCCCAAGAAGGGCAAGCCCAGCGUCGUCAUGUUCGUCGGAUUGCAGGAGGAGGAGGAGACCAUGCAAGUCCUUGGGGUUGGGUGCGGCAACUCGCGUCUCAAAGACAAUCUUUUGUGGUGGGGCGUCGCCGCCGCAGGCGGCACCUGCAUAGACCGUCUCGCUGGGAAUGAAGAGAUGCUCCCCUGA
rnacentral:rRNA from 1 species